GAGACCUUUCAAGUUUCAAUAGACAAAGGAUCCUGGAGGAAUACAAAUAUUUGGAAGUGGUAUCUAAAAUGUAGCUGCUACCAGUGCCAUUUAAAGUUACCAGAGCAGAAAUUUAAGUUAAGGAGAAAGUGAUACACAAGAUUUUCCAGAAGAACUACAUAAUCAUUAAUGAGCUACAUAACAGACAUAAAGCUAUCAGAGUCACAUAUUAAGUCUUGGCGGCAGCAUGUUAUAAGAUGUUUGAACCAAGACCGUUGACAUACUACCCUUUUGGAUGAAUUAAAGCCUGAAGAAGUUUUGAUCAUUAUGGACUGGACCAUGAAUUUUUUGCCA